GGGUUGUGAGGUUAAGCGACUAAGCGUACACGGUGGAUGCCCUGGCAGUCAGAGGCGAUGAAGGGCGUGCUAAUCUGCGAUAAGCGCCGGUAAGGUGAUAUGAACCGUUAUAACCGGCGAUACCCGAAUGGGGAAACCCAGUGUGAUUCGUCACACUAUCAUUAACUGAAUCCAUAGGUUAAUGAGGCGAACCGGGGGAACUGAAACAUCUAAGUACCCCGAGGAAAAGAAAUCAACCGAGAUUCCCCCAGUAGCGGCGAGCGAACGGGGAGGAGCCCAGAGCCUGAAUCAGCAUGUGUGUUAGUGGAAGCGUCUGGAAAGGCGCGCGAUACAGGGUGACAGCCCCGUACACAAAAGCGCAUGUGCUGUGAGCUCGAUGAGUAGGGCGGGACACGUGGUAUCCUGUCUGAAUAUGGGGGGACCAUCCUCCAAGGCUAAAUACUCCUGACUGACCGAUAGUGAACCAGUACCGUGAGGGAAAGGCGAAAAGAACCCCGGCGAGGGGAGUGAAAAAGAACCUGAAACCGUGUACGUACAAGCAGUGGGAGCACAGGUUUACCUGUGUGACUGCGUACCUUUUGUAUAAUGGGUCAGCGACUUAUAUUCUGUAGCAAGGUUAACCGUAUAGGGGAGCCGUAGGGAAACCGAGUCUUAACCGGGCGUUAAGUUGCAGGGUAUAGACCCGAAACCCGGUGAUCUAGCCAUGGGCAGGUUGAAGGUUGGGUAACACUAACUGGAGGACCGAACCGACUAAUGUUGAAAAAUUAGCGGAUGACCUGUGGCUGGGGGUGAAAGGCCAAUCAAACCGGGAGAUAGCUGGUUCUCCCCGAAAGCUAUUUAGGUAGCGCCUCGUGAAUUCAUCUCCGGGGGUAGAGCACUGUUUCGGCUAGGGGGCCAUCCCGGCUUACCAACCCGAUGCAAACUGCGAAUACCGGAGAAUGUUAUCACGGGAGACACACGGCGGGUGCUAACGUCCGUCGUGAAGAGGGAAACAACCCAGACCGCCAGCUAAGGUCCCAAAGUCAUGGUUAAGUGGGAAACGAUGUGGGAAGGCCCAGACAGCCAGGAUGUUGGCUUAGAAGCAGCCAUCAUUUAAAGAAAGCGUAAUAGCUCACUGGUCGAGUCGGCCUGCGCGGAAGAUGUAACGGGGCUAAACCAUGCACCGAAGCUGCGGCAGCGACACUAUGUGUUGUUGGGUAGGGGAGCGUUCUGUAAGCCUGUGAAGGUGUGUCGUGAGGCAUGCUGGAGGUAUCAGAAGUGCGAAUGCUGACAUAAGUAACGAUAAAGCGGGUGAAAAGCCCGCUCGCCGGAAGACCAAGGGUUCCUGUCCAACGUUAAUCGGGGCAGGGUGAGUCGACCCCUAAGGCGAGGCCGAAAGGCGUAGUCGAUGGGAAACGGGUUAAUAUUCCCGUACUUGGUGUUACUGCGAAGGGGGGACGGAGAAGGCUAUGUUGGCCGGGCGACGGUUGUCCCGGUUUAAGCGUGUAGGUGUGUGUUCCAGGUAAAUCCGGUUCACUUUAACACUGAGGCGUGAUGACGAGGCACUACGGUGCUGAAGCAACAAAUGCCCUGCUUCCAGGAAAAGCCUCUAAGCAUCAGGUAACAUCAAAUCGUACCCCAAACCGACACAGGUGGUCAGGUAGAGAAUACCAAGGCGCUUGAGAGAACUCGGGUGAAGGAACUAGGCAAAAUGGUGCCGUAACUUCGGGAGAAGGCACGCUGACAC
rnacentral:rRNA from 1 species